GAGGCGAUGAAGGGCGUGCUAAUCUGCGAUAAGCGCCGGUAAGGUGAUAUGAACCGUUAUAACCGGCGAUACCCGAAUGGGGAAACCCAGUGUGAUUCGUCACACUAUCAUUAACUGAAUCCAUAGGUUAAUGAGGCGAACCGGGGGAACUGAAACAUCUAAGUACCCCGAGGAAAAGAAAUCAACCGAGAUUCCCCCAGUAGCGGCGAGCGAACGGGGAGGAGCCCAGAGCCUGAAUCAGCAUGUGUGUUAGUGGAAGCGUCUGGAAAGGCGCGCGAUACAGGGUGACAGCCCCGUACACAAAAGCGCAUGUGCUGUGAGCUCGAUGAGUAGGGCGGGACACGUGGUAUCCUGUCUGAAUAUGGGGGGACCAUCCUCCAAGGCUAAAUACUCCUGACUGACCGAUAGUGAACCAGUACCGUGAGGGAAAGGCGAAAAGAACCCCGGCGAGGGGAGUGAAAAAGAACCUGAAACCGUGUACGUACAAGCAGUGGGAGCACCCUUUGGG
rnacentral:rRNA from 1 species